UGGCCUGGGCCCAUAACCUGUUGAAUUAA
rnacentral:sRNA from 1 species